UACGUAGGGGGCAAGCGUUGUCCGGAAUCAUUGGGCGUAAAGAGCGUGUAGGCGGCCAGAAAAGUCCGCUGUGAAAAUCUCGAGGCUCAACUUCGAGCUGUCGGUGGAAACUUUCUGGCUAGAGUCCGGAAGAGGAGAAUGGAAUUCCGUGGUGUAGCGGUGAAAUGCGCAGAUAUCAGGAGGAACACCAGUGGCGAAGGCGGCCUUCCUGGACACCAACUGACGCUGAGACGCGAAAGCGUGGGGAGCAAACAGG
rnacentral:rRNA from 1 species